ACAAAGUUAGUUUGAACUACCGUACAUUUAUGUAACUCUAAUAGCUACAUUGCCAUUUGGUGACUACUUCAUGCAUGGGCUGCUUUUUCUUGAUAUGAUUGGGAAUCUACAGUUUAGUUUCAAACGUCAGUUCAUUGAAAUUGUACAUUGACGAUAAAGGUUUCCAGACAUGACCUGUAAAUUACAUUUUGAAGAAUAGUAGUUUGCCUUCCUAGGAUAAGAGUGGAGGAUGACAAGUAUAGGAGCAGGCAGAAGGAAAGUGGUGCGACAUGUCCAUACACUUUGGAUUGAAUUCUACUGAAAGGCUUUAUAGAUGGAUGUUUAACCCUCUGUUCUAACCAUCUGAUGUUUUGCUUUUUGCUCCAGGUAGAGACGGAGCCAUCCCGGGCCAGAGCCACAUCGCACGGGGAGGAAUGGCCAGCAGCCGCGGCAGCUACAUGAACACGAACACGGGCACGUCUCAGUCUCUGUCUGGCGCACUGAACCGACAGAACCAGCUGAUGCAGGGGGGGGGGCUGCAGGGGGGGGCGUUCGGACGCCGCUAUUGAUGUAAAAAAGUGGGACUGUUUCACGAGGUCACGCCUGGAACCAUGUGACGCUCUCGUUUUUUACAUUUAAAAAAUAAAAAAUAAAAAAUAAAUAAUCAGAGUUCUUUUUUUGACACGAUUCCAAGCAAUUUUUCAUAGAGACUUAAUUUUAAUUUUUCUUUUUUGUGUGACGUAGUGCUCGCCUGACUUGUAUUUAUCAUCCAGUCCAACCUGAAGUGUGUGUGUGUGUGACACUGUCUGCGUGCUAUUAAGCAGAUUGUCCUGAAUUCAGACGUUUUGUAGACCUCUGGGUUGACGGACCUCUGUUUGUGUCCGAGGCAAUGUGGAAGAUUUUCAUUAAAUGAGCCUGUCGUAAUUAAUUUGUUCAUAGCUUGAGGGUCAUCAUUUUUUUUUUUUUUUUAACUCAGAUCUGUGGUGUUGUUUCGCUGCUGAAUAAAAAUGUUUUUAGAGUAAAGUCACAUUCAGAAUUUUUCAAUCGGUGCUUUCAUUUGUUCUUUGGUUUGUGUGACUGUUGGAUGAUGAUCACAAUCUAUUGAUUAAGAUCUGUUAUACAGUCUACAUAUCAAUGGACGAAGUCUCACACCACUGUUUCUGUAACGGAAAUGUUUUUGUUUUUUGGAUAAAAGUAUAAUGUUUAGUUGUGUCUGUGUUCAUUUUAUUGCCAGCUGCUGGUGACGAGUGUAAAAAUACACAGGGUAAAGUUGGCUCUCAUCAAUAAAAGAUUUGUCAUCUUU